GAUGAACGCUGGCGGCGUGCCUAAUACAUGCAAGUCGAGCGAACAGACGAGGAGCUUGCUCCUCUGACGUUAGCGGCGGACGGGUGAGUAACACGUGGAUAACCUACCUAUAUGACUGGGAUAACUUCGGGAAACCGGAGAUACUACCGGAUAAUAUAUUGAACCGCAUGGAUCAAUAGUGAAAGACGGUUUUGCUGUCACUUAUAGAUGGAUCCGCGCCGCAUUAGCUAGUUGGUAAGGUAACGGCUUACCAAGGCAACGAUGCGUAGCCGAUCUGAGAGGGUGAUCGGCCACACUGGAACUGAGACACGGUCCAGACUCCUACGGGAGGCAGCAGUAGGGAAUCUUCCGCAAUGGGCGAAAGCUUGACGGAGCAACGCCGCGUGAGUGAUGAAGGUCUUCGGAUCGUAAAACUCUGUUAUUAGGGAAGAAAAAAUGUGUAAGUAACUAUGCACGUCUUGACGGUACCUAAUCAGAAAGCCCCGGCUAACUACGUG
rnacentral:rRNA from 1 species